ACCUAGGAACUGGCCACACCAGCUCUGAGGUUGGAGAGACAAGGAGGAGGGAACGAUGCCCCCAGAGGAACUGUAUAAAGGGGCCACCCUGCAGGAGCUCCAGUCAUGGAGGGUUAGAGCCAGAAGUGGCCUUGAAGCAGGCAGGGUGCAGGGAAGAAAUGCCCUGAACUUUCCUCCCAGCCUUGAGAUCUGCAAGUGCCUCCCAUUGGCACACCCUACCGGAAGCAGCGAGAAAGCCUGGGUGACAGCGUCUCCUGGAGCCAACCUUCUCGGGAACAGAGGGGCGGAGAACAGAUGGGAAACUGACACGGAUGUAACAUAAGCAGGGAGGCUGAGUCACUUGGGCAAUGACUCAGCCACACCCACCAUGAACUCUCAAUGACUCGAGGAGAAGAAUGGCAUGGAUAAUCUAGAAAAAAUGGACAGUGGGAAAGAACUCCAGUGCUCUCAUGGAGUGCACGGAUCAUGAUUUGCUGCACUGGGGGAGCCGCUGGAUGGAUUCAUUCAUUAUAGUCUCGUCUCUGGCUGAUACUAAAUCUACUUGUUCCUGAGAGCACCUGCGGCCAUCAUGACAGGCUCAGUAUCACAGGGCCUAGUGAAAGAAACUCCCUCUGGCCAAGGACAACAGAAUAAAAACGUAACUGAGUCCCAGAUAUGCUAGUGUUUUCCACCAUUGCAUCUCUAAGAUAUCAACAGGACCUGGAAAGAUGAGAGUGAGUUCACUGUCCCCCCAUGGGCUGAGGUUGCUGGAAUGCUGGAACAGAGAGAAACUGGGAGGUUUUAGAAUGCUCUGGCUUCAGAAUGAAGGGAGCAGAGUGACGAGUGCUGCAAGCUGCAUGGAGCGGCCAAUUGAAAAAGCUAUCGAAGUCAGAACAGCACUGGAAGCGUUGACCCUGAAGAUGCAUGCCUGGAGAGAGGAUUUUUUUCUCUUUUUUUGCACUUUUUAUUGCAGUAAUGCAGGGACAUUCUGUGAGUAGAAUCCAGGGGGCCAUCAAGCCUGCGUUCAGGUGGCUGUGCGGGAAGGGGUUUUGAUCCUGUUCUGAGAAAGCUGUCUUGGGGCCCAGGCAGAGAGCACAUUACUGUGUUAGAGCCUUGAGUGGUUAAGAGAAAGUUCUUGGUUGAAUUGGGAAAGGGACCUGUAAAUAGCUGUAAAAUCCUGAACUAGCCGUGCCUCCUUCUGUGCUAGAUGCAGUCCUGGAGGCAGAGGCGCAGGCGACUCGAGGUCAAACCACUUCUGCUGCUAACUUGGGCAAAUCACACCACCUCUCUGCACCUGUCGGUGAGAGGCUUGGCCUAAAUGGUAUGUCAGCCUCUCCUAGUCUCAGUUGUCUCCCAUUUGUGGAUGCCAUUUCAGGGAUAGAGAAAUCGGAGACUAUUGAUAAAGACUGCAAAAGUGCAGAUUUGCUCAUAACAUGGAAACUCUCAGAGAGCUAGUCCCUACCAGGGAAGGAUGGAGUGGUCUGCCCUGGGCGCUAGGAAUAAGGAAGAGCAUUGUUGAUGGAGAAUUUUAAAACAAUAAUGAAACCAAGGAAAAGUCAGUCUGCUUUUUAGGAUCACCACGCAUGGACAAUUCUAAGCAAUGUCAGGAAUAAAAUACUCCUCCUCACCUGGGUGGACCACUCCCACCAUCCCCCUCCUUGGUUUGCCACUGUUUACCUGAACAAUUCUCUUUUUAUUCAGUGCUCUUUCAAUUCCUCUGACUACAAAGGGGGAGAAAUUCGCUAUGGUGUUAACUCUUUCAUUACCACCCCUUAGUGUUGAUUUGUCUCCAGUAAAGAAGAGUGAUGAGUUACUUUGAGACACAGCAGUGGACCGGAGUGCAACCAAGGAAGCAGGAACAAUAAAAAUGGAGAGAAAAGAAGAUGGAGUGAGGUGUGGAAUGUGUUGAGUAGUGGCUUAGAAAGUGAAGCCCUGAACACAUGGUCUAUGGCCAGGAUGGGGACAGCUCCCCGAAGGCCCAGGUCAGGCUGGACAUGUGGUGCCUAAGAACAGACUGCAGCUGCAUCUCCCUUCUGCUUUCUCAGAUCCCUGGCACUCUGGAGCUUUCCUUUGCGGCACUGUAGAUGCAUUUCUUAGAAGUGAUCUGCUCUGCACUCCUCAUGUCACACCACCCACCAUCCUCCUUUGGGUUGGAUUUCCUUCUCACUGUGUCCCAGUGUCUAGAAUAUGAAGGGACUUUGCCACCCCUCUGGGGACUUGCAUAUCCUGCAUUGAUGCCUCUCUUCUGUAGGCUUGGUCCCCUUGGUGCCCAACCUCCUGCUUGAUGGUGUUGCUUUGGGGUGUGUUCACAUUCUCCAAGGAGCCCUUCCCGAAAGCAGUAAAAAUAACCUGUGUGCGUUCUACAGGGGCUGAGUGGGCUGCUCUGGAGAGGACCAUGGGGUCUGUUGGAAAAACAUGAGUGUGGUGCGGGGAGGAGGCUGGGGAAGGAAUGCAGAAUCUAAAGAUGGAGAUCCUUGCCAAAUUAAAUAAAAAGGGUUUUUGUUUUUCCAAGCGAGAGCCCAGUUAGAAGCAAUUAAAUUGACAAUCAACUCAACCCAACCCAAACCAUGAGGACCGAGUUCUAGUUUCUUACAGAUUUAUAAUUUGCUAAAUUUUGUCUUUUAAACACCCACCAGACACAUAUUCCCUCUUGCACAUUUAGUUCCUAAUUGUUAUCCUAAGAUGAUUUAUUUGUUCUGGCAGGAAGAUAAAAGGAAGAGAUAGCUCCAGUGGAGUUUAUU
rnacentral:lncRNA from 1 species